rnacentral:lncRNA from 1 species
GCUAUACAGAUGCAGGUGGAAACUACUGGUGUGAAGUUAUCCUGUGAACAAAUAAAGUUGACUUCCUAAAAUUUCCCUGUUCAAAUAGUUGUUGACAUAUCCUUGAAGAUUUUUAAAAGAAUGAUCUAUAAACACCGCACUUCAGAGUUAUGUUUGCAAAGCCAUCUAUUAUGUUUACAAAGAAGAUCUUGAGGUAGGAAUCUCUGGGUUCUGCAGGUGCUGCGUGAACCCCAGCAGGGCCAUUCCAGAUGCUCCACAGGACAGCGCUGAACGCACCGCAGUGAGCCUGGGAGGCCCUGGGCUACUGCUGCCUCCCCUUCUCUGGGCUGAACAUCAAGAAACCUCAAACCUGAGACAUGGUGGGAAAUCAGGAAGACAUGAGGCUUUGCUCAACACUGGAGAACACCAGUUCUUUUCAGUUUGUAUGCAUCUUUAUCAGGAGGCCAUAGUUGAAGAUACUCAAAUCAUUCUGAAGACUUUCAUCUUGUCUCUCAGAGGCACUCAUUCAACAUUUUAG